rnacentral:rRNA from 1 species
UGGGGAAUAUUGCGCAAUGGGCGAAAGCCUGACGCAGCAAUGCCGCGUGGGUGAUGAAGGCCUUUGGGUCGUAAAGCCCUGUCGGAGGGAAAGAAAAAGUUGGAUAGGAAAUGAUCCAGCCUUGACGGUACCCUCGAAGGAAGCACCGGCUAACUCCGUGCCAGCAGCCGCGGUAAUACGGGGGGUGCAAGCGUUGUUCGGAAUCACUGGGCGUAAAGCGCGUGUAGGCGGAUUGUUAAGUCAGAUGUGAAAGCCCGAGGCUUAA